GGCGUUGUCGCUUAGACGGUUAAAGCGCCUGCCUCGUAAACAGGAGAUCCUGGGUUCAAAUCCCAGAAGUGCCU